rfam:Ovis aries breed Texel chromosome 10, whole genome shotgun sequence.
UCCCUGGUGGCUCAGUUGGUAAAGAAUCCACCUGCAAGGUGGGAAACCUGGGUUCGAUCCCUAGGUUGGGAA